GGUCAGGAGUUUGAGACCAGCCUGGCCAACGUGACAAAACCCCAUCUCUACUAAAAAUACAAAAUUUAGCUGGCCAUGGUGGCGCAUGCCUGUAGUCCCAGCUCGGGAGGCUGAAGCAGGAGAAUGGCGUGAACCUGGGAGGUGGAGGUUGCAGUGAGCCGAGAUCGCACCACUGCAUUCCAGCCUAGGUGACAGAGCAAGACUCUGUCUCAAAAAAAAAAAAAAAAAAAAAAAAAUCCUAGCUGUCUGACACUAGACAGGGGACUAAGCUUGUCUAAAGACUCAGCCUCCAUAUCUGUAGUGGAAGAUUAAUAACAGCGUCUACGUCAAAGAGUUGAUAUAAGGAUAAAAUGCAAAAAUCCAUUUAAUGCAUUUAGCAUAGAGCCUGUCACACAGUAAGAACUUAAUAAAUAUUGGGAUUAUGAUUAAUACUGUAUUUAAUAACUCAAGGUAACAGCGGAAUUGCUUUUCUUUCAAAUAUAAGACUGCUAAGAUGGCAGAUGGACACUAAAAUACUACUGCUGAAAUAGCAAGUCGUAGUAUAACUUUAUCUGAAAAUCACGUAAUUGUGAGGAUUUCCAUAACUUCUUUGUUUCCUUAUUUUAUUCUGCUUCUUUUUCUGCCUUGUGGUCCUUGCUUAAUUCCUAAUUUUGUUACAUUCUCAAAGUUGUCCUUUGGCAUCUUCUAAGCUUUUGAUAAAGCAGUUAACAUUAUUAGCAGUUAACAGCUAACACUAUCACUAUUGUAUUUUUUUCUUUUGCUUUUUCUUUCAAAGAUAUGUUCUAAAUAACAGCUGAUGGGGAAAGGAGACAAAGUUGACUAAACGGAAGUAAUCAGUUACCUUUAGCAUGCUGGUGGUUUCUUGUUAAAGAUUCCAGAAAAUACCCAAAGCAUAAAAGCAUAAACAUCUCUUUGAUAUCUUAUGAUUAAUAAAAUAAUUAUUGUCAAGUAUAGGUCUAAGUGUUAAUGAUCACCGGAGAUUAUUAUUAUUAAUUUUUGAGACAGAGUCUAGCUCUGUCGCCCAGGCUGGAGUGCAACUCCGUCUCAAACAAACAAACAAAAAAACCCAGAAACAGUUUUUCUAAAUGAAAAGUUUAGAAUUUUAAAAAUUGUAUAGAAAACACAAGCAGGCUGCCGCUUGUAAGAGAAUGCUGCGUGCACAACUAUUUCAGCAAUUUAACAGGUGCAUGAAUGAACUUAUUUUCCAAAGGAAAAACAAGUGUAACAAAAAUAACUUGACUAUAGACGGAUGGUUAAGAUGGAGACUAUGCUGACAAAUGGAGAGCCUACAGUAUAAAGCAUUUCAAAUAAAUUUCUUAGUCUGUUUAUAACAAUGACAGACCACUGCACAAGAGAAAUGUGCAUGUAGCUCCCUUAAAGUAUAAAGGUGAAAAGGUCAUUUAAAGGGUCGAUAUGUUAAAUCAAAACUUAAACCACAACCUACGGAUUUUUUAAAAAUCACACGCAUUAAUGUUCAGUAUUUAGUAAACUGUUGAGAAAAGCAAGUUGGAUACACCGUUCCCACAGAAAUCUUCACAUCCCUUCCCAUUUCCCUAGUAGCCGGCGCCCCGCUCCCAGGAGUCUCAUCCACACCACUAUUCCUCGGCCUCUCCGCCCUAGCCCCCAAUAUCCUCGGGUUCCUAUUUUUCUGGCCUCCACCCCCACUCAAGGAUCCCAAUGAGGUUCUAACUCUACAAUUGCAGCCUGUGUGCCCCAAGAAAUAAAGCUGCUCCCCUGCCCCAGUAGAGAACGCCCGAGAGGCGGGAGCGAGGCACCAAAG
rnacentral:lncRNA from 1 species